AGCAAACUCCUUUGUUAGUGAAACUGGAGGCAAAUAAAACCUACAGUCUCAAAAAACAAACAAAAGGAUAACAGCUGCCAAAAGCCAACAGAUGCAGACACUGGGAAGCUGAGGAGGAGCAAAGUGAUAUGGGGAAAUAAACAGGGCCACAGCUCAGCGGGAGGAGAGUGGAGCUGUUCAGCAGGUCUCAAGACGCCGGCAAAAUCACGGCUACUGUAGACAAAGGUCACCCCAAGGUUAUAAACCCGUAAGUCCACGUGCAACAAGAGCUGCAGGGUCAUGGAGGCCUGGGUGGAAACUGGCCGAAGACACGGCAGAUGAGCAGAGCAGACAAGGAGAGGAGAUGGAAUGGAGGCAGAUCUCAGAAAACGCUGGCAGCUACACUCCUGAAGAAACCUCCGGAAAAUUGCUAAGCCGAGAACAUUGUGUUUUAGCAUACAAAGACUAAAGGAAUAUUGUUCCCACAAGCCCUGCUUGAGGAAAUCACCAGGGAACAAAUGUAGUCAACCAAAAGAUGAUUGAGAAAACAACAGCAAAAGAGCUGACGGUCAUUUCAAAGAGGCUGCAAAACCAAGAGCUCUUAACGCUGUGAGCAAAGAUGGAAGUUCUCUCUAGGAUGCCAUGGCACUCGAUGGUGACAUUCUCACCUACUCCUUGACCACCUGAAGGACUCCUUCUCAUCCUUGAAGACCUCACUCAAGUUUCUUUUCUUCUUUAAAGACUUCCUGAGUUCCCUCCUCUACCCCAAAAAAGUUAGUGGCCCCCAUAGCAAAUUUACUAAUUCCAUCAUUAUACCCCCAUUCUGUGUGGUAUUUAUUUCAUGCAUAUGUCAUCUGCUAAUCUGUGAAUUCUUCCCCUUUGAAGAGGGCCCAGUACAGGCCUGGGAGUUGGAAAUCAAUAAAUACAUGGUGGAUGACUGAAUAUUCUCUGUACACUUCUACAAGGGCUGACCCCUCUAACUAAACAUUAUGACAGAGGGUGUGUGUGUGUGUGUGUGUGUGUGUGUGUGUGUGUAUAUCUGGAACUGUGUAAAGAUAUGAGAAGGAAUGUCAUAUGUUUCUUAAAAAUAAAAAUGGUGUGAGCAGAA
rnacentral:lncRNA from 10 species